UAAGGAAUAUUGGUCAAUGGACGCAAGUCUGAACCAGCCAUGCCGCGUGAAGGAUGAAGGUCCUCUGGAUUGUAAACUUCUUUUAUAUGGGACGAAACCUUCUUUUCUAAGGAGACUGACGGUACCAUAGGAAUAAGCACCGGCUAACUCCGUGCCAGCAGCCGCGGUAAUACGGAGGGUGCAAGCGUUAUCCGGAUUCACUGGGUUUAAAGGGUGCGUAGGCGGGCAGGGAAGUCAGUGGUGAAAUCCUCAAGCUUAACUUGAGAACUGCCGUUGAUACUCUCUGUCUUGAAUAUCGUGGAGGUGAGCGGAAUAUGUCAUGUAGCGGUGAAAUGCUUAGAUAUGACAUAGAACACCAAUUGCGAAGGCAGCUCGCUACACGAAUAUUGACGCUGAGGCACGAAAGCGUGGGGAUCAAACAG
rnacentral:rRNA from 1 species